GAGUUUGAUCCUGGCUCAGAUUGAACGCUGGCGGCAUGCCUUACACAUGCAAGUCGAACGGCAGCACGGGAGCUUGCUCCUGGUGGCGAGUGGCGAACGGGUGAGUAAUGCAUCGGAACGUAUCCUGGAGUGGGGGAUAACGUAGCGAAAGUUACGCUAAUACCGCAUAUUCUGUGAGCAGGAAAGCGGGGGACCUUCGGGCCUCGCGCUCUUGGAGCGGCCGAUGUCGGAUUAGCUAGUUGGUGAGGUAAAGGCUCACCAAGGCGACGAUCCGUAGCAGGUCUGAGAGGAUGAUCUGCCACACUGGAACUGAGACACGGUCCAGACUCCUACGGGAGGCAGCAGUGGGAAUUUUGGACAAUGGGGGCAACCCUGAUCCAGCCAUGCCGCGUGAGUG
rnacentral:rRNA from 6 species